rnacentral:rRNA from 1 species
UUGGAGGGCAAGUCUGGUGCCAGCAGCCGCGGUAACUCCAGCUCCAAUAGCGUAUAUUAAAGUUGUUGCAGUUAAAAAGCUCGUAGUUGAACCUUGGGCCUGGCUGGCCGGUCCGCCUCACCGCGUGUACUGGUCCGGCCGGGCCUUUCCUUCUGGGGAACCUCAUGCCCUUCACUGGACGUGUUGGGGAACCAGGACUUUUACUUUGAAAAAAUUAGAGUGUUUAAAGCAGGC